rnacentral:rRNA from 1 species
CCCGCUGAACUUAAGCAUAUCAAUAAGCGGAGGAAAAGAAACUAACAAGGAUUCCCCUAGUAACGGCGAGUGAAGCGGGAAGAGCUCAAGCUUAAAAUCUCCGUGCAAGUUUUGCGCGGCGAAUUGUAGUCUAUAGAGGCGUGGUCAGCGUGGGCGCUUGGGGCAAGUUCCUUGGAAGAGGACAGCAUGGAGGGUGAUACUCCCGUUCAUCCCUGAGUGGCUCGUGCGUACGACCCGUGUUCUUUGAGUCGCGUUGUUUGGGAAUGCAGCGCAAAGUAGGUGGUAAAUUCCAUCUAAAGCUAAAUAUUGGUGCGAGACCGAUAGCGAACAAGUACCGUGAGGGAAAGAUGAAAAGAACUUUGAAAAGAGAGUUAAAGAGUACCUGAAACUGCUGAAAGGGAACCGAAUCGUUUCCAGUGUCUAUAAUCCGUGGCAUAUUUCAUUGGCGAGUGUGCGCGUGCGUGUGUUGUGGCAGCGGCUUUUUUGGCUGCGCCCGGCGCGUGUGCUGUGUGUGCUUGCUGGUGCCCUGUGCUGCGGUGGGACGUCAAGGUCAGUUCGUAUGCUGCGGGAAAUGGCUGCCGAGGAGGUAGGGCUUACGCUCUGCGUUUGUCUAUUAUAUCUUGGUGGACGAGUCGUCGCGGUUGGGACUGAGGUGCCUACAACGUGCUUUUGAGUGGGUGUGUGUCUCCGUGUGCGCCGUGUGCGGAUAGCUUGCUAUGCGUGUGUGGUUGUGUGUGGAUGGAUGCGUGCUUUAACUUGUCGCCGUUCGGGACGUUGACGAAAUGGAGCGAUCCGACCCGUCUUGAAACACGGACCAAGGAGUCUAACAUGUGUGCAAGUGUUAGGGUGUGGAAACCCCAGCGCGAAAUGAAAGUGAAGGGCAGCGCAAGUUGUCUGAGGUAGGAAACGUUGCGGGCUUCGGUCUGCGGCGUGGCACUAUCGACCGAUCAUGAACCUUCGUGGUGAAAGAUUUGAGUUUGAGCACAUAUGUUGGUACCCGAAAGAUGGUGAACUAUGCCUGAGUAGGGUGAAGCCAGGGGAAACUCUGGUGGAAGCUCGUAGCGAUUCUGACGUGCAAAUCGAUCGUCAAACUUGGGUAUAGGGGCGAAAGACUAAUCGAACCAUCUAGUAGCUGGUUCCCUCCGAAAUUUCCCUCAGGAUAGCAGCAACUUAUUUACGAUAGUUUUAUGAGGUAAAGCGAAUGAUUAGAGGAUUCGGGGAAGAAACUUCCUCGACCUAUUCUCAAACUUUAAAUCUGUAAGACCUGCAGGUUUCUUAAUUGAACUUGUGGAUGUGAAUAUCAAGUUGCUAGUGGGCCAUACGGGGUAAGCUCGUCUGGCG